UAAUACAUACAGAAAGAAAUAUUCAGUGCAGUUUAAACAUCGUCUGGUUAUUAAUAAUGUGACUGUUGAUGAAUUAGGAGUUUAUUACUGUAUGAACACAGAAACACCUCCAAAACUCAGCAACAGCGCCAGAAUAUACUUCACCGAAUCAUCUCAAUUGCCUGAGUGUCACAAUCAUACAGCGGUCAACUGUAUUGAUCAGAUUCAAACACAACAUCAGAUUAUCAUCAUAAUAUCUGCUCUGAUGAAUGGACUUCUGAUUAUUGUGGUGAUCCUUUUUGCUGUUGGAAAAACAGAGCGGUUGGAAAAACACAUUCAUACUGAUCUGCAGACACGAGUUACAUAUCAGCCUCGAGAUCCAAACCAAUUGUAGGCAUAAUGAGUUCAUUAAGGUGGAAGACGUUCAGCAAGCAAACAGCAACUGUGUGACUACAUAAAAUGUUAUUAAAAUAUUGUGUUUAAGUCAAGAACAUAUUAUUAUAUGGUGUACUUUCAUGAGUUUUUGGGAUACUAGUUAUCGCACUUAAAGUCAAUUUCUAUGGGCACACAGUCAUGGCUAUAAAAAUGAUUGAAAAUACAAGUGGCAAGAGAUAUAAGUACAGUGACACAUUCAUGACUAUUUAUUCUUUUUUGUUAUAUUAUUGUUAUAAUUUCUAUAGGUUGUGUCCUUGUAUUUUUUGACAGUGUCAUGAACAGAGUGAAAGCAGGUCCUUGUUUUUGAUACAUAUAUAAAUAUAUAUUUGUUAUAUAGUUUUGUUUUCUGUGUAACUAGGCUACACAGUGUGGUUAAACUCAACUGAAGCUCUAACCAAAACCAUAAAUAUGUUUGUUUGGUCACUUGACAGCCAAUGACAAACAGGGUCUGUCACCUUUGUCUAGAGCGGAGGUUUAACCGAGUACACGUGUCUACAGUUCUCACAGUUGUCUUAAACUCAAUGGAAUAAGCAGCAUUGCAGUAUGUCUGCUUUUACUGU